rnacentral:lncRNA from 1 species
GAGCGGGGAGCAAGGCCUGCGGGGAGGCGCAGGAUGGACGCGUUGGCUGUCAUGAUGUAGGACCUCCUGACCUAGAACCAUGCCCGGCGCAGGGAGAACAACGAGCUUACGGACCGGGUGCGGGGGCUGCUGUGCGAGAAAGCCUACCUGCUGGCCCGGGAGCGUUCGCCGGCCCACCUGGUGGCUUUCCCUGGACGUUUAACGGCGACUCCGCCCGGCCUCCCGACUUUUUGAUGCAGGCGUUCUCUUACAUGACUUUCUUCGAGGCUAGAUUCUCGAAAGACAUCCUGAAGGUGGCUUUCUUAAUUAGCUGCCUCACCGGCUGGCGGAGCAGUUCGUAGUCGCCUACAUCGAGAGGGAGAGCCCCGUCCUGGCUCAGUACUGGGGCUUCGUGGACGCGCUGUAGCGGGUCUUCGCCGUCGUGGGUAGGAAACAGUCGGGCCGGAUCCCCGGUGUCUGGGGAGCGGCUGCCGGCCGGGCCCGCGCGAGCCGCUUCACUCCUACAAGCCCGGCUCACUAGUUCCAAGCUGCUGGACUUUGACCCUCGCUGGGAAGCUUGAUCGCCGCCUGUUCUCGCCAAUCUCUAUGCCUUUGCACUGCCCAGCAACCCGGUCACUGCCCAGGACCUGUUAAAAGUUGAAUGGACCUCCCAGAAUCACGCCGCUGCCACCGCCGUUUCUAGAGACGGCUUUUGGCCACCUUUGAGAAUCAGGGUCAAACUUGGAAGGGCCUGCAUUUGUCACACUUCCUCGGACACUAAUUUGGAUAGUUCAGGCCCAGAGACGGCUUCCCGGAUCCUUUGCACAUGGCCUGCUAUCAACAAUCCUCUACAAUGAUUCUCAGCAUCACCUAGGGAGCUUAUGUAAAAUCUCAAAUUCCUGGGCCCUAUCCCCAGAGUUUCUUAUCAAGUAAGUCUGCAUUGGGAUCUGAGGAUUUGCAUCUCUAACAAAAAUUCCUAGGCGAUGCUCACACUGUUGGUGUAAGGGUCCACUCACAAAUCGCAGCUGGUAUGGACUGGUACUGCCCCAAAUAAGAGGAACCUAAGAGCUUGGCUCCAAGACCCCCCACCAUCCCGGUGGGUUUGCUUGGCCUUUAGGAUGUGUGACUACAGCUUUUGGGUAGGUACAGGGCAAUCAAGAUUGAGGAAGAACACUUCAGCAAAGCAACCAUUAUUUGUCCACAAAAACAGUGAAAAACAGUGAUAUAAAAUUAACAAACCAAAUAUAAAUCUAACGCCA